GACGAACGCUGGCGGCGUGCCUAAUACAUGCAAGUCGAGCGCAGGAAGCCAUCUGAACCCUUCGGGGGGACGACGGUGGAAUGAGCGGCGGACGGGUGAGUAACACGUAAAGGACCUGCCCAUAGGUCUGGGAUAACCACGAGAAAUCGGGGCUAAUACCGGAUGUGUCAUCGGACCGCAUGGUCCGCUGAUGAAAGGCGCUCCGGCGUCGCCCAUGGAUGGCUUUGCGGUGCAUUAGCUAGUUGGUGGGGUAACGGCCCACCAAGGCGACGUGCCAUGGCCGACCUGGGAGGGUGAUCGGCCACACUGGGACUGAGACACGGCCCAGACUCCUACGGGAGGCAGCAGUAGGGAAUCUUCCACAAUGGACGAAAGUCUGAUGGAGCAACGCCGCGUGAACGAUGAAGGCUUUCGGGUCGUAAAGUUCUGUUGUAAGGGAAGAACAAGUGCCGCAGGCAAUGGCGGCACCUUGACGGUACCUUGCGAGAAGGCCACGGCUAACUACGUGCCAGCCGCCGCCGCCGUAA
rnacentral:rRNA from 1 species